rnacentral:rRNA from 1 species
UAAGAUGUCCGGGGCCGCACGCGCGCUACACUGAAGGAGACAGCGGGUCUUCUCCCCGCCCGACCGGGUCGGGUAAACCGCUGAAACUCCUUCGUGAUAGGGACAGGGGAUUGUAACUGUUCCCCUCGAACGAGGAAUUCCUUGUAGUCGCGGAUCAUCAGUCCGCGGCGACUAAGUCACUGCCCUUUGUACACAUCGCCCGUCGAUGCUACCGAUUGAACGGAUCAGUGAGGUCUUUGGACCGGUGUUCUCUGCGGACUCGCGUCCGGGGAGGAUCCUGCCGGAAAGAUGACCGAACUCGUUCGUUUAGAGGAAGUAAAAGUCGUAACAAAGUUUCC